rnacentral:lncRNA from 1 species
UUGAUUCACUAAUAUAACUUCAACCAACGGUCUGAAAAAUUAGCACAUCUCCUCAUGGAAUAAUAUUGUACCCAAAUACCCGAAUGCACAAUACUAGAGUGAAUAGUAACCGGGUGAAUAGUAACUCGUGAAUAGUAACUCAUGAAUAGUAACUCGUGAAUAGUAACUCAUGAAUAGUAACUCGUGAAUAGUAACUCAUGAAUAGUAACUCAUGAAUAGUAACUCGUGAAUAGUAACUCAUGAAUAGUAACUCGUGAAUAGUACUCCGACACGAAAAGUUCCCCGAAUACCCGAUUGAACAAUAUAACCUCCAGACAUCAAUUAUCAUCGGAAUAGAUGUCGAUUUCUACUAACACAAAUAAUCCCAACACAAUGAAACUAUCAAAUUCAUCUUUAAUCAACACGAACUUAUUCAUCAUUAAUAUUAUAACUCACAAUAUUUAACAACCAGGUUGUUCCCAGGAAAGAGGGGGCUUUCCAAUAAGGAUUUCUCCCUAUUGGCGCGCAAUUAGGUGACCAAACCUCUCCUUGACAGAACUUCU